rnacentral:rRNA from 1 species
AGAGUUUGAUCCUGGCUCAGGAUGAACGCUAGCUACAGGCUUAACACAUGCAAGUCGAGGGGCAGCAUGUUGGUUGCUUGCAACCAAUGAUGGCGACCGGCGCACGGGUGAGUAACGCGUAUCCAACCUACCCUUGUCCAUCGGGAUAACCCGUCGAAAGGCGGCCUAACACGAUAUGCGGUUCUCAGCAGGCAUCUAACGAGAACGAAAUGUGAAGGAGAAGGAUGGGGAUGCGUCUGAUUAGCUUGUUGGCGGGGUAACGGCCACCAAGGCGACGGAUCAGUAGGGGUUCUGAGAGGAAGGUCCCCCCANAUUGGAACUGAGACACGGUCCAAACUCCUACGGGAGCA